CCUACGGGCGGCUGCAGUAAGGAAUAUUGGACAAUGGGCGCAAGCCUGAUCCAGCCAUGCCGCGUGCAGGAUGACGGCCCUAUGGGUUGUAAACUGCUUUUAUACGGGAAAAAACCCCUCUACGUGUAGAGGGCUGAUGGUACCGUAAGAAUAAGGAUCGGCUAACUCCGUGCCAGCAGCCGCGGUAAUACGGAGGAUCCGAGCGUUAUCCGGUUUUAUGGGGGCUAAAGGGUGUUUGGACGUCAGUGUUGAAAUCCUGCAGCUUAACGUUAGAACUGCCAUUGAUACUGCAAGUCUUGAGUACAUAUGAUGUGGGCGGAAUGUGUAGUGUAGCGGUGAAAUGCUUAGAUAUUACACAGAACACCAAUUGCGAAGGCAGCUCACAAAACUGUAACUGACGCUGAGGCACGAAAGCGUGGGGAGUGAACAGGAUUAGAUACCCGAGUAGUC
rnacentral:rRNA from 1 species